rnacentral:rRNA from 1 species
AUUGAACGCUGGCGGCAUGCCUUACACAUGCAAGUCGAACGGUAACAGGUUAAGCUGACGAGUGGCGAACGGGUGAGUAAUACAUCGGAACGUGCCCAGUAGUGUGGGAUAGCCCGGCGAAAGCCGGAUUAAUACCGCAUACGACCUAAGGGUGAAAGGGGGGGGAUCGCAAGACCUCUCGCUAUUGGAGCGGCCGAUGUCAGAUUAGCUAGUUGGUGGGGUAAAAGCUCACCAAGGCGACGAUCUGUAGCUGGUCUGAGAGGACGACCAGCCACACUGGGACUGAGACACGGCCCAGACUCCUACGGGAGGCAGCAGUGGGGAAUUUUGGACAAUGGGCGCAAGCCUGAUCCAGCCAUGCCGCGUGCGGGAAGAAGGCCUUCGGGUUGUAAACCGCUUUUGUCAGGGAAGAAAUCCUUUGGGUUAAUACCUCGGGGGGAUGACGGUACCUGAAGAAUAAGCACCGGCUAACUACGUG